UGGGGAAUUUUGCACAAUGGGGGAAACCCUGAUGCAGCGACGCCGCGUGAUUUAGAAGGCCUUCGGGUUGUAAAAAUCUUUUCUAUGGGAAGAAAAUGACAGUACCAUAGGAAUAAGGACCGGCUAAUUACGUGCCAGCAGCCGCGGUAAUACGUAAGGUCCGAGCGUUGUCCGGAAUCAUUGGGCGUAAAGGGUACGUAGGCGGGUAAGCAAGUUAGAAGUGAAAUCCUGUAGCUCAACUACAGUAAGCUUUUAAAACUGCUCAUCUUGAGUUAUGGAAGGGAAAGUGGAAUUCCUAGUGUAGCGGUGAAAUGCGCAGAUAUUAGGAGGAAUACCGGUGGCGAAGGCGACUUUCUGGCCAUAAUCUGACGCUGAGGCUCGAAAGCGUGGGUAGCAAACAGG
rnacentral:rRNA from 1 species